GUGCUCCCUUCGGCAGCGCAUAUACUAAAAUUAGAAUGAUGCGGAGAAGAUUAGCAUGGCCCCUGCACAAGUAAUGUCUUCUGGAAGCAGAGAGAAAUAUGGAAACAAU
ensembl:snRNA U6 U6 spliceosomal RNA